CACGUAGGGUGCGAGCGUUGUCCGGAAUUAUUGGGCGUAAAGAGCUCGUAGGCGGUGUGUCGCGUCGGCCGUGAAACUGCAGCUUAACUGUGGGCGUGCGGUCGAUACGGGCAUCACUGGAGUUCGGCAGGGGAGACUGGAAUUCCUGGUGUAGCGGUGAAAUGCGCAGAUAUCAGGAGGAACACCGGUGGCGAAGGCGGGUCUCUGGGCCGAUACUGACGCUGAGGAGCGAAAGCGUGGGGAGCGAACAGG
rnacentral:rRNA from 1 species